UUCAGGAUGGCCGAGUGGUAAUGGCAUCGGGCUUCUAAUCCGGUUCUCUGUUGUGUCCGCAGGUUCAAUUCCUGCUCCUGAAU